UUCCCUGCAGAUAACAACACUGAAGAAAUUAAAUGAAUUCAACUAAGAAAACUAAGGAAAUACAUGGCAUGAGGGUUAAUGAGUCAACAUCAGGGCUCUGUAUUUAAGGAAAUGUGACAACAUAAGUGGAUCGAGCCAUAUGAGUUUGGACAACCAGGCAGCUAUGAUGUGGCAGAACCUAGGAGUGACAAGCUCCAAUGGAUAGACCCUGUCUUGGGAGUUUAGUAGAGAUGUGCAUGGAAUUUGAAAUCAGAUAAACUCAGGUCUUGUUGCAUGAGGCAAAUUACUUCUCUCUGAUCCUCUGAAUCAUCAUCUCUAAGAUGGUUUUAUUAUAUGGAUUGCUCACUUUGAGGAUUACCAAAUACCA
rnacentral:lncRNA from 1 species